GUAUGACAAUUAUUUCCAGGACAACAGUAAAAAAAAAAAAAAGGAGAAGGUAAAGAAGAACUGCUACAGACACAGCUUCCAGAACAGAUUGGAGGAGGUGCUAUUCCUAUUUUAACAGUGCCCAAAUCUGCUUGAGGCAGGCUGCUUUAUUCUGCCUAGUGGUAGGGUAGAGCUCAGCCACUUGGCUACAUUUGGGCAGCCUGCCUGAGGCAGCAUACUUUGGACAUAAUUAAGAAGCAACACGCUAUCAGUUAUUUCAUUUAAAUAACAACAACAAUCAUAAUAUUUUACUGUGGUAGGGUGUCAUUUCAAUGGUCUUAGCCAAGGCACCAAAAUGUCAGGCCAGUGAGAUCAGAUGCCUGCUCAUUGCUUACAUUUUUUUAGUUAUGUGAAGAAUUGAUUCUAGGAUAGUAUAUCUGAAAUGACUGUCCAGCUACAUUUGAGCGAGUUCUGCGCACUGUCUCACUAGAGUGGUACAUGCCCUGCUUAUCCCCCACUUGGAUUACUGCCAUUCUCGGUAGUAGAACUCAUCCUGUGGAACACCCUCCCAUCGGAUGUCAAGGAGAUGAGUAACUAUAUAAACUUUAGAAGACAUCUGAAGGCAGCCCUAUAUAGGGAAGCUUUUUAAUGUAUAAUGUUUUUAUACAUGUUGGAAGCCACCCAGAGUGGCUGGAGCUACCCAGUCAGAUGGGCAGGGUACAAGUAAUAAUGACAACAUUAUUAUUAUUAUUACUAUUUAAUUUAUUAUAAAUAUUUACAUUUUGCUAGUUAUAGCUGAAAGUGCCUGGUGUUGCUGACAAAUUCUAAGAAACAAAAACAUACUGAGAUUUUAAAAUGGAAAUGUAAUUUGCUAGUUUCAGGGCUGUGUACAGCACCACACAUCUACAUUCCAGGAUCUUGACCUGGGGAAAACCUGACCUGCAUCCAGCCUUGAAUCAAUGUUUAAUUAAGGUUUUUAAAGCCCUAUAAGCUCAGGAGAGGGGAAGCAGGGGAAAGACACUGAUUCUCCUUUUCCUCUCUUCCCAACUGAAUCGCAGGGAGCAGAAGGGUUGGAUCCUACUGGGUGCUGUUUCACCCAUGCAUUCCCUGUAGGAAACAUGCUGGCAAACCAGCAGACCCCUUCAGCCAGUAGGGCUGCACCCGUGGCACACAGUUCCUGCAGUGCUGCUGCAUGGGCUCGACAGGCUUCCUUGGCCUCCACAAUCUGCUGCCCUGCUCCUGCAUAGUUUCCUCCAGUGUGUCCCAUCAUGGUGUGGUUCAGCCCUAGCUGUCCCUGCCACCAACACCUGCAACUCUGUGGCUGCCAUUUAGCAGACUCACCUUUCUGACCAUCCCUCAACUUGCUCCUUCAUCAGCAGUCAUCAUCAAUGGUGGGGUGGGAUGGGGGAAGCACAUAACUGACAGUGAGAGACCAACUGUCUUCUGGCACUGGCUCAGCACAGGAACAGGAGACAGGUCUUCUCUAUUCCUCUCCCCCACCCCAAUCUCCUCUUCCCACCUUGGGACCUCUGCAGCUUCAGCCAUUUCCUUUGGAAUCCUGCUAUGGUCUACUUUCCAAGCACAUUACCUGUGGGUAACAUGCUGGUAAAGCAAACCCCUGCAGCUAGCAGGUGAAGGGUUCAGUUGCACUUAUGGACUGCAUACAUGUGUUCCCCUGCUGGGAACAUGCAUACAAAGUCAAAAUGCAGCACAGGGCUGUUUGAAAGCCCUCUUACAACAGCCAUGGGUUGCCCUUGGUAGAGGCUGCCUGACUCGCCUCCCAGCAACCCACACAUUAACAAACCCAGAUUCCUCCAGGCAGCCCAACCCAAGGUGAUCAGGGGUUGUCUUGAUGUGAUUCAGUCAAAGUCCAGAUCAGAGCAAAUUGGCCUGGCUUUGUUUGGGCUUUGGCAGAAACUGGUGUGCAGCCCUUUUCAUUUCUUGCCAAAUUUGGUUAACAUCAUUUCAGUUUUGACAGGUUCAGCCCACCAUUUUGAUUCAAACUGGAGUCCAAUGGUAUCCAAAUAUAGACCAAAGCCCACUCCUCCAUUUCAGGAACCACUGUCAAAUUGGGCGACAUUAUUUGCAGUGCGGUCCAAAUCAGUGCAGUUUUGAAUAGUUCGGUCUGCUUCAAAAUGACAGCCAACAGUAUCCAAAUAUAAACCAAAAGUCCAUUGCUCCAUCUCAGGAACUGUCAUGCAAACUGAUUUCAUGUCAAAUUUGGUUUAAAAUCUUUUCACUUAGGAAUGGCUUUGCUCACCAUCUUGCUUCAAAAUGGCCUCCAACCAUUUAUAAACAUAGACAAAAACCUGUUCCUCACACUUGGGAACAGUCAUGCCAGGUUGGAAUGAUAAUAUCUCCAGACACAUCCAAAUUGGUGCAGCUAGUGUUAGGCCCACAGAAGAAGGUUUUAAGCUGCUGCUUCACAAUGAGGUAAAACCUCCCAACAUGCUGAAAAUUGGGGUAUAAGUUUAAAUAAAAUAAAAUCAUGAUGUGUAACCAUUGAUUGCUUUAUCCAGCAUGAGUUUAUCUAAACCCCCUUUAAGGUCAUCUAAAUUGGCAGCUGUCAUUGCAUGUUGUGGCAGCAAAUUCCAUGAGAUGACUAUGUGCUGUGUGAAGAAUGCUUCCUUUCGACUGUCUUGAAUUGAGAUAUUUGCUCAUCCUAGUCCCACAACAGAUGAAUGGCAAUACCACCACUUCUUGUGUUCCUCAACAAGUUCUUGUUGAGAACUAUCCAUUUAGUCCUACUCUCUUUUCCCAGUUCCCAGGUUCCAGUAUAUAAGAGGAUCCAUAACUGCUAAGUUUUACUCAAGGGCCUUUGGCAAAGGAUUUUAUCAGAAACAUAUUGGAAGUCCAAAUAUACAGCAUCUACCACAUCACCCCCAGUCACCUGGAAUAUGCUUUUCAAACUGUUGAGUUCCAUACAAUGAGUAGCAUACUAUUGCUCUUACCUGUGAUCAUGUCCAAAGUACUUGCAACUCCAUUGCCUCCUUCUCUCUAAAAAGAAGAGCCUGAAACUUGGACUUUUAUCAGCAACGUCCACCAGUCCAGGAGUCUCUGCAGAUUUAUUAUCUGUUCUAUUUAUUACAUUUAUAUAGCACCUCUAUAUUCCAAGGAGCUCAAGGUGGUGUACAUGGUCAAAAUAAUGACUGCUUGUGUUAGCUGGCAACUUUGCUACAAAUGCCUAUCUAUAGUUCCUGGAGGGCCUCACCAGCGGUCUGGGGCCAGAAGAGACUGCCAGACACCAACAAAGGGACUUACACAGAGCCGAACAACUUGCAUCUCACCAAGAUGAACUUGCAUCUCACCACCAGAUAUGAAUGGUGGCCCAUGAAGGGCUUGAGGAACAAUGCUUUUUUUCCCAGGCCAACGCAUGCAUCAGAAACAGAAGAUUAGAUCAGGACUCUGGUAGGCUGCCACACAUGGCUAUCAGAUUGAGUUUGGCUUGGUGGAGCAGAAAGUGUGCAGGCCCGGGUUAUGGCAGGCUCCCAAAUUACACUUAUCGCUCCUCGCCAAUUGUUAUUCUUGCCCACCCCUAAAGCUCGCAUCCUGCUGCUGGAAAUUUGUUUGGAUGCAGGAGAUGCUGCGGCAGCAUCAAGGGCAUUGCAAGGAACAAUUCUGGGAGUCGAAUGCCCCUCCCUGCCAAACCGAAAAAUGCACCCACAUCCCGGUGCAGCUGGAAAAAUGGAGGGGGCCUGUCUUCCAUCCUCUCAUGGUAUCAGACUGUGCUAGUUACCAGAUGAGAAACUGGCAUCUUCCAUGAGAUUCAGAUAGCCCACCACUUUGUUCCUGGGGAUUGAAGGCUCCUGGUGUUAAUUAGCUCCUGUAAUAUGAUGGAUGACAGCAGGAAAGCCAGAAGUGACACAGGCAAAUUGCAUUCCAGAAUGAGCCUUCCCUCCUCAUCAAGGGCACUGGAAAGGGAUCUGGAGAAAGACAGGAGCUGAGCUGCAACACCACCACCUGGACACAGUGUAUAUAAAUACAAUGAGGCUGUGGGAAUCGGGAACAAGGAAGUCCACCCUCAAUGCUAACAAGAGAAAACAAAGAACAUUUGACCUGCCACAGGGGAGCAACACACACAGGUUUCUUGGGCUGAUCCCUGUUGCCAUGAAUAAAUUGAAUCCUUGAGAAAAGGAUAAGAUUGCCCUGCCCUGAUUUGGUGGUCGAGCCCCUGCUGCCCAUGGGAAGCAAAGGAAGACACAACUAGACACAACAACAUACUAAGGAGGAGAAGGCGGCAGCUCAAAUCAAGGUCAUAAGGGGAUGCAGCCCUAUCUCCUGGGUGAGAAGCAUCCUUUUCUCUCCAAGACGGAGGCCAAAGGAGAAGAGAUGAAAACUGGGGCAAGGAGGCAGUUGGGUGGGAAAGAGGAAACCAGCCAUGUAUCUCCCAUGAUGAAGUUAGGGAUGGGAGAUGAGACAGGCGAGGGAAACUGGAAGGGAUGGCCUGGGUACUGCAGCACCAGACCACAGAGGUAUAAAAUAUUAAUAUAAAGUUAAAAUUUGGGGGGUAUAUCCCUAGUGUAUGAACAUCCAUGCAUCACCUUAGUUCAUUGUACCAACUGCCAGUGCAUAGUCAUCCCAUUCUCCUGCAGUCUUCUCUCUCUCCAAGCACACAUUGUCCUAGGACCAGCUCAUCCACUAGACAAACACAGUAUUGGCACUGCAUGCAAGCCCUGCAAGGGGAACUGUAGACACCGACUAUGUUCUGCAAUUAACUGUCCCAGAAAAAGGAUGCUUCCAGAAGACCUAUUUAUUGAGUAUUCAUCCAGAUUUGCUUGAGGGGAGACUAGAUGAUGUUGCAUCAAAGAAGGUGUUCUCUCGCACUUCCCUGUGCAUUUCCUGUCACUUUCCUUAUUGCAAAAACACUGAUCUUGGAGAAGCAGGUCUGUUGCACAAGACCUCCCAAAACACAAUAAUGGUGAGACCUGAAUUUUCUGGUAUGUGACUGAAUCCCACCUGAAAGCAGUGUAGUUUGGAAACACCCAAAGGUAGAGCAGCAAGAUGAAGAGAUUAGGGCAGAGGGGACAGAAAUCUACAGUGGGGAUUGCAAAGAGACAGGAAUCAAGACCAAGAGAAGAAGAUGCAUCUAACCUGAUUUAUGGAUCCUAAUAAUGUCUAAGACCAACUCCAUUCUCCACUUACAAAAUAACAAUUACAGAGUUCUGUUUAUCCACCCUAAACUCGCUGUAUUAAAAUGCAAUCUUCACAAAUUCAGAGUAAUCACCUGGUACAGCUCUGUUGGAACUAUUACUUUAAACAGGGAGUUGCACAUCUGAAUAUUCCCCCAUUUAAACAACAACCCUGCAUAUAGAAAAUCAGCUCAGUGGCAGAUGACAGGCCAGGAUGGUUCUCUCCAAUAUGCUUGUUUUCUUUAAAUGGCAACAUUUAACUAUGCAAUCCCCUGUUCACAGUCUAAAGUGGAGAGUCCCAGCAAGACUGUAUUAUGUGAUUACUCUGAACACGGAAAUCAGCUCUCAGGACUCAGCCAGUCCACAGAAAUUGUGUUGUGGUUGAUUUUCAAAAUGCAAGUGAUUUUUAAAAUGGAAAGUGGAAUAAGGGGCACUUUGAACUUGGAACCAGGGGGAGGAAAAAGGAGCCACUGAAAAGGAGUGCUCACUUGUCUCCCAAACACAUUCAGUACACUGACAACACUCCUUCCAGAUCAAGGCUUAGUUGCAAAAGCCUUUUGCACGUCAAACUUAUUGCAUGUCAAUAACUAUAUUGUUAUUGCCGAGACCUUAGCAUGAACAAUCUUUGAGUUACUUUUUAUAAGUCCCUCAACCUUCUGAAUCAGGGAUGAUCAGAGAGGUAAUUCCAGUAACUUCUUUUUGCUGGUUAAAAAUGACUAAGCACAUAAAGGUGCCUUGAGUAAGCAUAUGGGUUUGAAUUGUUCUUUUUAAUGGAAAAAGAGCUAACUCACCCUAAGACAGUUUUUGACCUUGGCUGUUUGGGGUUGUUGCUUUCUACGCCCUAAUACAGCAUCUCCUGCAUCUGCCAACUUCCAAACUUCCACCUAAAGUGCAGUAGACUAUGCAAAGCUGCUUGCCAGGAGGACAGGGAUG
rnacentral:lncRNA from 1 species